CAGUCGUACCUUCGGGUAAUCAGCCUUUUGGGUGUGAUUUUGUGGAGUGUGAAGAGUUAAACGCCUUCAUGCCUGCAUAUUCGUGCACUUUGGGUGUACUUGCCCGUGUGGUUGGUUAACAUCAAUUUUGGUUAUCAUAAAAUGACUGGAGGAAUGUAGCUUCGAUCUCGUAUUGAAGUGUUAUAGCCUUCGGUAGAUGUGAUGAUCGAGAUUGAGGAUUGCAACGGAUACCCUUCGGGGCUACCUGUCUGGUCUCUGAUCGUUGCUCUGGUGCCGAAAGCUUGCUUACGGUUAUCAAAGUCGAUGGUCAAUAGGUUAGAACGGGUUAAA
rnacentral:rRNA from 1 species